GGCCCCUAGGCCCUUGCCCCUUUGGCCCUAUGCAAGGGCCGGCCCUGCUUCUUCACCAGAUGAUGGGGUUAUGCGUCAUCCUGCAGAUUCUCUAGCAUGGAAGCACUUAAACACAAUUUUUCCUGAAUUCGCAUCAGAGUGGUAAAAUGUGAGACUAGGUCUUUCAACAGAUGGUUUUCAACCCUUUGGGCAAUCGGGAAAGCAAUAUUCAUCAUGACCGGUUAUACUUACACCCCAUAAUUUGCCUCCUUGGUUGUGUAUGAAAGAACAGUUUAUGUUCCUAACAAUUUUAGUGCCUGGUCCAUGGAAUCCAAAAGAGAAGUUGGAUGUGUUUUUGCAACCACUAAUUGCAGAACUAAAACACUUGUGGGAGGUAGGUGUGCCUACAUAUGACAUUUCACUGAAGCAAAAUUUUCACAUGCGAGCAGUUUUGAUGUGGACUAUUAGUGAUUUUCCAGCAUACUCUAUGCUGUCUGGGUGGAGUACUGGAAGAUUGGCUUGUCCACAUUGCAUGGAAAACACUGAUGCAUUCACUCUAGAGAAGAGCGGCAAACAAUCAUGGUUUGACAACCAUCGAAAAUUUUUACUAAUUAAUCAUGCAUUUCGAAGAAACAAGAAAGCAUUCAGAAAGAAUAAGACGAUUACACUGGGUCCACCGGUAGCAAGGUCAGGAGAAGAUAUAUUCAAUCAAAUACAAGCAUUAGGUUUGAUUAAAGUGACUGAGGACUACGAUGAUACAAACAAGAAUGCCUCCAACCGUUCUAGACCUGGGUGGAAAAAGAUGAGCAUAUUUUGGGAUCUUCCAUAUUGGAAAAAAUUGUUGAGUCGACAUAAUUUGGAUGUUAUGCACAUUGAAAAGAAUGUGUUUGACAAUGUGUUCAAUACUGUGCUUAAUGUUCAAGGGAAGACCAAAGAUACAAUUAAGUCUAGAGAGGAGUUGAACUUGUAUUGCACAAGACCGGAACUGAAUCGUAAUGAGUCUUCAGGAAAGUAUCCAGAAGCUUCAUACACACUUGACAAGAAUGAGAAAAAGGUGUUAUGUGAAUGGGUAAAAGAUCUUAGAUUUCCAGACGGGUAUGUGUCCAAUAUGAGUAGAUGUGUGGAUAUGAGUAAGCUAAAGAUGCAUAGGAUGAAAAGUCACGACUGCCAUGUUUUCAUGCAAUGCAUCCUACCUGUGGCAUUUCGUGAACUUCUUCCACAAAAUGUUUGGAAGGCGAUCACAGAGUUGUGUCUAUUUUUUAAGGACUUGACCUCUCAGACAAUACAAAUGGAUGAUAUGUGCAAGCUCAAUGAUAACAUUCCCAUAAUUUUGUGUAAUCUUGAGCGCAUCUUUCCACCUAGUUUCUUCGACUCGAUGGAGCACCUACCGGUUCAUUUGCCUAAUGAAGCACGCCUUGCAGGUCCAGUUCAAUAUCGAUGGAUGUAUUCAUUUGAGAGAUACUUAAGAAAAUUGAAAAAUUAUGUAAGAAGCAAAGCAAGAUUGAAGGAUCCAUCUGCAAUGCAUACUUAGUGGAAGAAGUAUCUACAUUUUGUUCCUAUUAUUUUGAGGACCAUGUGAGUACAAAAAUGAGGAAUGUGCCUCGUAACUGCAUAGGUCAAAAUAAUAUAAGGGUCAAUGAUGAUUCGAAUGUGCUUUCCAUAUUCAAACAGAUAGGAUCCCUUCUUGGAAAAAUGUCAAAAAGAUAUAUGGAUGCUAAAGAGUAUAAGGCUGCACAGUUAUACAUUCUGCUCAACUGUCACGAGGUUACUGAUAUAUAUUUGAAGUGAGUAUAUAUUAUUUUCAAUACAAAUAAUUCAUUAAUUAAUAUACAUAUAUCUAACAUUUAUAUAUUUUUUAAGAUUGUUUGAAGAUGAAAUGGUAGCAGCAAAUCCAUUUAUAUCGGCAUCAGAUUUAGGGACCAAAAUCGAUGAGGAUUUUGUUGAUUGGUUCAAAAGAUAUGUAAGAAAUAUCUAAAUUAGUAUUAAUUAAUUGAUGAGGCAGAAGAUUGUUUGUGUUUGAUUUAUUUAAUUAUCAUUGUAGGUCAAUCAUCAAUCUAACAACAGCGUCGUGAACAAAUAUAUUCAGGAUCUUUCCAAAUGGCCUUUAUUAGAGGUUAAAACAUAUCCUGGAUAUAUUGUUAAUGGAUACAGGUUUCACACGAUAGCUCAUGGGGCACAUCGAGCCACUAUGAAUAGUGGAGUUAACAUAAAAGGCGAGAUUUAUAGCACUGAUGAGUUGGACUUUUAUGGGCGCUUAUUAGAAGUUUGUGUGCUAGAGUAUCCUGGCCUACUAAUAAAAACAAAGACGUUAUUAAGAUGUGAGUGGUUUGACCCAUUACCUUCUGCAACAUCGGUUCAUAAGGCCUUCAAAUUAGUUUCUAUAAACCACAAGCUUAGGUACAAGAAGUUUGAACCAUUUGUCUUAGCAAAUCAAGCUAUCCAGGUGUACUAUUGUUCAUAUCCUAGUCUAAGAAAGAUAAGACAGAUUGGUGGGAAGCAUGUAAAGUUAAGGCUAGAUCUAUUGUAGAAGUUCCAUAUCGAACAUCUACAUCAACAUUAGAUCCACCUUUUCAAGAGGAAGAAAUGGUUAUGACUAUGAUGGUUAGUGAGACACCAAUAGAUGAUGACAACACAAUAGUUCAUCCAGAAGGUGGGAUGAUAGAUAUUGAUGAGAUUGAGGAAGAAACUGAUGAAGACAUAGUCUUUUCUGAUGAUGAUGAUGUCUUUAAAGGAGGGAAUUCCUAUCAAGAAGUACGUGUAUGAUUCGUUUAGGACAUUACAUGUGAAUAAAGAUGGAACUUAUACCUACAAGAAGGCUGAAGAAGUUUAUACGAGAGUGAGGGAGAUUGCCGAGCAGCAAGGAAAGAGUGCCGAUUUGAGUCAGAUAUAUGUGGAUGAGAUGAUGGGAGGCCGCCUCGAUAAGAAGCAGAGGAUGUUCGGCACGAGUACCCUCGCACGAAGUCUCGUGGGCGGUACAUCACAGACUAUCCCUUCACAGCACGUUGAUGCUCGAUUUGACGAGCUGCAGCAGCAGCUUCAAGAGGAGCGUGAGCAUAGACUCCGAUUGGAGGAAUCACUUCGAGUAACUAAUGAGAUGUUUCAGCAGUGCAUGAGGUCCCAACAGUCGAGGAUUAGUGGCUCACGAGGUUCAGACUUACCCGGCGACAAUCCUUAGCCUUGAUGUAAUUUAUUUAGUACCUUUUUGAUACGUUAUUAUGAUAUUUAGCUUUGAUGUAGUUUAUUUCGUAACUUUUGAUACAUUAUUAUGAUAUUUAGCUUUGAUGUAGUUUAUUUCGUAACUUUUGAUACAUUAUUAUGAUAUUUACA